rnacentral:rRNA from 1 species
AGAGUUUGAUCCUGGCUCAGAACGAACGCUGGCGGCGCGUCUUAAGCAUGCAAGUCGAACGGUAGAGAAACUUCGGUUUCUUGAGAGUGGCGAACGGGUGAGUAACACGUAGAUGAUCUGCCUUGAAGUUGGGGAUAGCCUAUAGAAAUAUGGGGUAAUACCGGAUAAUAUCUUAGAACUUUGGUUUUUUGAUGAAAGGGGCUUCGGCCUCGCUUUAAGAUGAGUCUGCGGCUUAUUAGCUAGUUGGUAGGGUAAGAGCCUACCAAGGCGACGAUAAGUAGCCGGCCUGAGAGGGUGACCGGCCACAUUGGGACUGAGACACGGCCCAAACUCCUACGGGAGGCAGCAGCUAAGAAUCUUCCGCAAUGGGCGCAAGCCUGACGGAGCGACGCCGCGUGGACGAAGAAUGCCGAGAGGUUGUAAAGUCCUUUUAUUUGCGAAGAAUAAUAUCUAUAGGUAAUGACAGAUAGAUGACGUUAGCUUAUGAAUAAGCUCCGGCCAAUUACGUGCCAGCAGCCGCGGUAACACGUAAGGAGCGAGCGUUGUUCGGAAUUAUUGGGCGUAAAGGGCAUGUAGGCGGUUAUAUAAGUCCGAUGUGAAAUACCACAGCUUAACCGUGGAAAUGCAUUGGAAACUGUAUGACUUGAAUCAGUGAGGGGUAACCGGAAUUUCUAGUGUAGGGGUGAAAUCUGUUGAUAUUAGAAAGAACACCGAUGGCGAAGGCAGGUUACUGGCACAUGAUUGACGCUGAGAUGCGAAAGCGUAGGGAGCGAACAGGAUUAGAUACCCUGGUAGUCUACGCUGUAAACGAUGUACACUUGGUGUCGGGGUUUCUAAGCCUCGGUGCCGUAGCUAACGCGUUAAGUGUACCGCCUGGGGAGUAUGCCGGCAACGGUGAAACUCAAAGGAAUUGACGGGGGCCCGCACAAGCGGUGGAGCAUGUGGUUUAAUUCGACGAUACGCGAGAAACCUUACCAGGGUUUGACAUAUUUAUGAUCGACGUAGAGAUACGUAAUCCCCUUCGGGGGCAUUUAUACAGGUGCUGCAUGGUUGUCGUCAGCUCGUGCCGUGAGGUGUUGGGUUAAGUCCCGCAACGAGCGCAACCCCUACUGUCUGUUACCAUCAUUAAGUUGGGGACUCAGGCAAGACUGCCGGUGACAAACCGGAGGAAGGUGGGGACGACGUCAAAUCAUCAUGGCC